rnacentral:SRP_RNA from 1 species
GCCGGGCGCGGUGGCUCAAGCCUGUAAUCCCAGCACUUUGGGAGGCCGAGGUGGGUGGAUCACCUGAGGUCAGGAGUUUGAGACCAGCCUGACCAACAUGGAGAAACCCCGUCUCUACUNNNNNNNNNNAGUAGAGACGGGGUUUCUCCAUGUUGGUCAGGCUGGUCUCAAACUCCUGACCUCAGGUGAUCCACCCACCUCGG